rnacentral:tRNA from 1 species
AAAAAAUUAGUUAAAAUUUAUAUAACAUUAGUUUGUCAAACUAA